rnacentral:misc_RNA from 1 species
GAUGAAGAACGUAGCGAAACGCGAUAUGUAAUGUGAAUUGCAGAAUUCAGUGAAUCAUCGAAUCUUUGAACGCACAUGGCGCCUUCCAGUAUCCUGGGAGGCAUGCCUGUCCGAGCGUCGUUUCAACCCUCGAGCCCCCGUGGCCCGGCGUUGGGGAUCUGCCCAGGCAGUCCCCGAAAACCAGUGACGGACCCGUUACAGGCCCUUCCCUUGCGUAGUAGCAUUCGCCUCGCAUCGGGAGCCGGCGGGCUUCCAGCCUCUAAACCCCCAUCAAGUCCGCCCCGGCGGCACCAAGGUUGACCUCGGAUCAGGUAGGAAUACCCGCUGAACUUAAGCAUAUCAAUAAGCGGAGGA